CCCAGGGCUUCCGCCCUGGGCUAAUUUAUUUCGGCCCUACGGGCCU
rnacentral:sRNA from 1 species